CCGGCCCAGGUGGGCGGGGUUACGACCUUGUUUUCUCGUAGUGAUUGUGGGUUUCUCAUCUCGGAACACUUCUGAACUUCCUCGACCUGCUCUUGAAGCAACAACAACCCAGUUGUGGGCUUGAGGGGGAAAGCAGAUGUUUGAGCCCUGACUUCACAAGAACUGCACCAAGGUGGACGGAGUGAGGGACCCCUUGGCUCCUGGCAGCAGGGCCCCACAAGUGCUUUGCCAAGGAUUUGAAGUGGCUUCAACUGGUCUUUGCUCAGAUGUUUCCAGUACCAUCUAUGACGUGUUCUAUCAAAAGAGAUGAACUUUAAACAGGCCUUUAGAUUUAAAUUUUACUUUAUAGGAAACAGAAUAGAAGAAGAAAUUAUCUAAUGAUAUGAAAAAUAAACAGUAGGAGAAAUUCAGAAUGUAGAUCAUCAUGACAAUCAACCUGAUUCCUCAACAGGUCAAAGGUCUGUAAGAAGAAGUGAAUGGAUAGUAUUCAAGAAUAAACACACCUGAACAAAUAAAAUGAAUGGACUCUGGACAUUGAUUUGAACAAACCACUGAUGAGGGGGUUUGGGGGAAAAUCUGAAAACAGAUUG
rnacentral:lncRNA from 1 species